rnacentral:rRNA from 1 species
GUAGGUGGCAAGCGUUGUCCGGAAUUAUUGGGCGUAAAGCGCGCGCAGGCGGUUCUUUAAGUCUGAUGUGAAAGCCCACGGCUCAACCGUGGAGGGUCAUUGGAAACUGGAGAACUUGAGUACAGAAGAGGAAAGCGGAAUUCCACGUGUAGCGGUGAAAUGCGUAGAGAUGUGGAGGAACACCAGUGGCGAAGGCGGCUUUCUGGUCUGUAACUGACGCUGAGGCGCGGAAGCGUGGGGAGCAAACAGGGAUUAGAUACCCUGGUAGUCCACGCCGUAAACGAUGAGUGCUAAGUGUUAGGGGGUUUCCCGCCCCCUUAGUGCUGCAGCUAACGCAUUAAGCACUCCGCCUGGGGAGUACGGCCGCAAGGCUG